rnacentral:rRNA from 1 species
UCCCUACUCCUACGGGAGGCAGCAGUAGGGAAUCUUCCGCAAUGGACGAAAGUCUGACGGAGCAACGCCGCGUGAGUGAUGAAGGUUUUCGGAUCGUAAAGCUCUGUUGUUAGGGAAGAACAAGUGCGAGAGUAACUGCUCGCACCUUGACGGUACCUAACCAGAAAGCCACGGCUAACUACGUGCCAGCAGCCGCGGUAAUACGUAGGUGGCAAGCGUUGUCCGGAAUUAUUGGGCGUAAAGGGCUCGCAGGCGGUUUCUUAAGUCUGAUGUGAAAGCCCCCGGCUCAACCGGGGAGGGUCAUUGGAAACUGGGAAACUUGAGUGCAGAAGAGGAGAGUGGAAUUCCACGUGUAGCGGUGAAAUGCGUAGAGAUGUGGAGGAACACCAGUGGCGAAGGCGACUCUCUGGUCUGUAACUGACGCUGAGGAGCGAAAGCGUGGGGAGCGAACAGGAUUAGAUACCCUGGUAGUC